CCAGGACUGUUCUGAUGGUUUGGAACGGCUAGUCCAGAUGCACCAUGGCCGCGUUCCCUUUCCUCCAGUCAUGCCUGCCAUUCCAUGGCACAAAGUACAUGUUCAAAGAUAUUACACUAACUCUACCAGGGGUUUUUAGCUCCAUUUGCAGCCAGCUGGAAAACUGACACCCACCCUUGUGAAAAUGUACUCCAUGAUGUCUACAUCCAUGGUCAGAGGAAAGGGCAGAAAAAAUGUUCAGGAAUUGAAAAAUAUGUUAUUUUUCUUAGCUCUGGUUCAUUUUUUAAAAAGAAUUAUAGCCUAAGGGGAAAGGAAAUAAUGCAGAGAGGUCAGAUAUGCUUUGUAUGUUUUGACAAACAUUGCAACUACCCAUUUUCCAUGGGUCUAAUUUCAUCUUCUUGCAUCUACUGACAUAAAAUGUCAACACAAGAAUGUAAGGCUAGAGCUCAGUUUAAAAUAACAGAGUUAGCUAUGACAGAAAAAUUGUUAAUGGGUUGACUUCAGGCAAUUUUUCAAAAGAAAAAGGUAAGUUUAUAGUAUCAAUUUCUAUAUUAAAAUAAUAGGAAAAUCUCUUAGCUCAUGCCUAUACAUUAUGAAACACCAGGCCAUUAUAAGGCUUACUGUCAUGCACACUUUGACUAAUGUUUCUUCAGUGUAUCUAUGGCUAAUAUCCUUACUCUGAGAGCAUACAUUUCUUUAGAGCCUGAUCGCUUAACUUUCUCUCAUGGUGGUGAUCGCAUUGGCAGACAAACCCAUCAAAGUAUCUGGAAAGUCUGCAUAAGUAAACUGUUGUCAUCACAAUGGAUGAAUAAUGGGACACUUGCUCUGUUCAGUUACAGAAUGUCAGAGACUCUUAGCUAUCUCUAUCUGUCCUAGAGGCAUGUUAAGGCCUCUUUUAUACUACAAAACAUUUCCAGAAAAACUUUGAGGGCAUCUACACCCAAAGUUCUUCUACAGCAGCAAAACCCUCCAGUUACGCCAUCUUUGCCAAGUGGAGGAGGGCCUCUACCAGCUGCCACUGUCCCUUCAGCAGCUGGUACCUUCCCAGAAUGCACUUUAUGCUCUGGCAGCAUAGCUGCUGAGUAGAGCCAUGCAAAGGCUCAGAAAUGCAUGAAUGUGUACGUGGCUGGGUAGUGGUAGUUGCUUUGUGGCAGCAGUUAGUUGUAGACAAGUCCUAUGACCAGAAAACGAAACAGAAUAUUUAGUUCUCUCCACUGUUAGGUUAUGUAAAGAGCAGUGUAUCGGAUAGUUACCCUUCAAUUUUCCUAGGUGUUACUGUUUCAGGUCUUCUCUCUAAAUGCCUAAGACAGACAGUAUUUUCAAAGAUGCCUGGGGACAUAAUUACAGGAAUCCCAGUAAAGCCAAUGGGAGAUGUAAUCUUUUGAAAAUCCAAGGUUUCUCUUUAUAAAGUUGUAUUGCCAUUGUCAACAAAAUGUCAGGCUUGUCUCUAGAAGCUGGAAAGCAAUCAUAUUAUGACUAGAAACAGGGUUGUACUUAUUCCAAAAGGAACUGGUAUCAUAAAUGUUUCUUGAGCUACCUUUCACCAUUUGAUCUUCCUGUAUGAAAUGUAUCAUUCCUCCUUCCUUAGUUAUGUUUUUGCUUCUGAACUUAAUGCAUGGUAGAGCUACUAUACUGAAACCCUUGGAAUAUGGACUCCAAUAGAUCAAGAAACCUUCAGAUCAGGUUUAACUUGUGUAGCACCAAUAAAGGAUUCCUUCCACUGU